rnacentral:ncRNA from 1 species
UCACUAGUACGAGAGGACCGUGAUUCGCACAAUUGGUCAUCGCGCUUGGUGAAAAGCCAGUGGCGCGAAGCUACCGUGCGCUGGAUUAUGACUGAACGCCUCUAAGUCAGAAUCCGGGCCAGAAGCGACGCGUUGUCCGCCGCUCGUUUGCCGACCAGCAGUAGGGGCCCUCCGGCCCCCAAAGGCACGUGUCGUUGGCUAAGCCCUCGCGGCGGACGAGCCGCGCGGGCCGCCUUGAAUUACAAUUUCCACCGGGCGGCGGACUGAAUCCUUUGCAGACGACUUAAAUACGCGACGGGGUAUUGUAAGUGGCAGAGUGGCCUUGCUGCCACGAUCCACUGAGAUUCAGCCCUUCGUCGCUCCGAUUCGU